UGCGCGUGCGCGAAAGAUUUUGCGCCUGCGCGUGCGCCUGCGCGUGCGCCGGGAACGCCUUUUCUGCGCAGCUUGAAGUAUGGUUUGACCGUGGAACAAUAGGGUUUGGAGCUGCGUGUGCUCAUUUACACGCGGGUUGUUUUUUUUUCUUCAAACAACAUACAGCCGGCCCUCUGUAUCCCAGGUUCCACUUCCGUGUUUCCCCAACAAAAAGGUGAACGAAUGUGCAUCCAAAGAAUACCCUCAAGUGUUGGACAUUCAGAGAGAUUCUGAGGCAAAAUAGAAGAAUUCCAGUCUCAGGGUAAAGGCAUCAUACAGGUCACCAAGCAAAGGCCAAGCACCAAAAGAUUUAAGCGAAGUAUUUCAGCGCACGGACAGCCACUACAAAUGCUUGUAACAGAAACCUGUGUACCUGAAGACAGUGGAAAACAAACAGAUGAGGCGACUUCAUGUAUCAAAUAUGAAGGAAAAGCUGAAUAAAAACCGUAAUUCAUGCCAGCCAGCCCUAUUUUAUGAAGAAUUGACAGAAUAAUCAUCCAAAAAUUGAACAUUGUCAAUGAUAAAAAUAACACAGAUUUGCACUGAAUAAAUAUCAUGUAAACUA